AGCGGAAAAAGCGGAGCCGUAGCGAAAGCGAGUCUGAAUAGGGCGCAUAAGUAACAGGUCGUAGACCCGAAACCAGGUGAUCUACCCAUGUCCAGGAUGAAGGUAAGGUAAUACUUACUGGAGGUCCGAACCCACGCACGUUGAAAAGUGCGGGGAUGAGGUGUGGGUAGCGGAGAAAUUCCAAUCGAACUUGGAGAUAGCUGGUUCUCUCCGAAAUAGCUUUAGGGCUAGCCUCGAGGUAAAGAGUCAUGGAGGUAGAGCACUGUUUGGACUAGGGGCCCUUCUCGGGUUACCGAAUUCAGAUAAACUCCGAAUGCCAUGUACUUAUACUCGGGAGUCAGACUGCGAGUGAUAAGAUCCGUAGUCGAAAGGGAAACAGCCCAGACCACCAGUUAAGGUCCCCAAAUAUAUGUUAAGUGGAAAAGGAUGUGGGGUUGCUUAGACAACCAGGAUGUUGGCUUAGAAGCAGCCACCAUUGAAAGAGUGCGUAAUAGCUCACUGGUCGAGUGACCCCGCGCCGAAAAUGUACCGGGGCUAAACAUAUUACCGAAACUGUGGAUGAACCUCUUUAGAGGUUCGUGGUAGGAGAGCGUUCUAAGGGCGGUGAAGUCAGACCGGAAGGACUGGUGGAGCGCUUAGAAGUGAGAAUGCCGGUAUGAGUAGCGAAAGAAGGGUGAGAAUCCCUUCCACCGAAUAUCUAAGGUUUCCUGAGGAAGGCUCGUCCGCUCAGGGUUAGUCGGGACCUAAGCCGAGGCCGAUAGGCGUAGGCGAUGGACAACAGGUAGAGAUUCCUGUACCAGUGCUAAUUGUUUAACCGAUGGGGUGACACAGAAGGAUAGGGAAUCGCACGAAUGGAAAUGUGCGUCCAAGCAGUGAGUGUGAGAAGUAGGCAAAUCCGCUUCUCGCGAAGCAUGAGCUGUGAUGGGGAAGGAAAUUAAGUACGGAAGUUCCUGAUUUCACGCUGUCAAGAAAAGCCUCUAGGAAGAGUAGUACUGCCCGUACCGCAAACCGACACAGGUAGAUGAGGAGAGAAUCCUAAGGUGAGCGAGAGAACUCUCGUUAAGGAACUCGGCAAAAUGACCCCGUAACUUCGGGAGAAGGGGUGCUCUAUUAGGGUGCAAGCCCGAGAGAGCCGCAGUGAAUAGGCCCAGGCGACUGUUUAGCAAAAACACAGGUCUCUGCAAAACCGUAAGGUGACGUAUAGGGGCUGACGCCUGCCCGGUGCUGGAAGGUUAAGAGGAGUGCUUAGCUUCGGCGAAGGUACGAAUUGAAGCCCCAGUAAACGGCGGCCGUAACUAUAACGGUCCUAAGGUAGCGAAAUUCCUUGUCGGGUAAGUUCCGACCCGCACGAAAGGCGCAACGAUCUGGGCACUGUCUCAACGAGAGACUCGGUGAAAUUAUAGUACCUGUGAAGAUGCAGGUUACCCGCGACAGGACGGAAAGACCCCGUGGAGCUUUACUGCAACCUGAUAUGGAAUGUUUGUACCGCUUGUACAGGAUAGGUAGGAGCCGAAGAGACGUGUGCGCUAGCAUACGAGGAGGCAAUGGUGGGAUACUACCCUGGCUGUAUGACCAUUCUAACCCGCCACGCUUAGCGCGUGGGGAGACAGUGUCAGGUGGGCAGUUUGACUGGGGCGGUCGCCUCCUAAAGAGUAACGGAGGCGCCCAAAGGUUCCCUCAGAAUGGAUGGAAAUCAUUCGCAGAGUGUAAAGGCACAAGGGAGCUUGACUGCGAGACUGACAAGUCGAGCAGGGACGAAAGUCGGGCUUAGUGAUCCGGUGGUUCCGCAUGGAAGGGCCAUCGCUCAACGGAUAAAAGCUACCCCGGGGAUAACAGGCUUAUCUCCCCCAAGAGUCCACAUCGACGGGGAGGUUUGGCACCUCGAUGUCGGCUCGUCGCAUCCUGGGGCUGUAGUCGGUCCCAAGGGUUGGGCUGUUCGCCCAUUAAAGCGGCACGCGAGCUGGGUUCAGAACGUCGUGAGACAGUUCGGUCCCUAUCCGUCGCGGGCGCAGGAAAUUUGAGAGGAGCUGUCCUUAGUACGAGAGGACCGGGAUGGACACACCGCUGGUGUACCAGUUGUUCCGCCAGGAGCAUCGCUGGGUAGCUAUGUGUGGCAGGGAUAAACGCUGAAAGCAUCUAAGCGUGAAGCCCCCCUCAAGAUGAGAUUUCCCAUUUCUUCGGAAAGUAAGAUCCCUGAAAGAUGAUCAGGUAGAUAGGUUUGGAGUGGAAGUGUAGCGAUACAUGGAGCGGACAAAUACUAAUCGAUCGAGGACUUAACCAAAA
rnacentral:rRNA from 1 species